AAACAUGAGCAUAAUCAUCUUCAUACGAUUAACAACCAUUUAUAAGACUGCCAUGACACUUUUCUCAAAUAUAUUCAGAUGCUUUGGUGAUGCGUCUAAAAGCCAAAGAAGGGUAUGCACAGGGGGUGUUUGUGUUCUUAAAGAGCAGAGCAAACUAGACAAUAAAAGAUCCGAGACAAAGCGAAAGCGAAGAAAUCAGCACUCAUGUUUUUGAUUUUUCAUUGAGAAGGUAUCCAGGUUUGUAGUUAUUAGCGUUAAGAAGUGACUUGGAUCGAAGAAUUAUGCUACUUAAUUUUCUCUUAAUACAAUCUCAAAUAUUGUGAAGUAGUGGCCUCUGCAUGUUGUUCGUCAUGCAAAGUUCUUGAAUACAAUGUGUGGGAUAUUUGAAUUGAUGGGAUUUAUCAUGUGCUCUCCAAUUUGAUUUGUUUUCGUUGUUUAGAUCUUGAUUCAUGUAUCAAUAAAUUCAAGUGGUUUUGUACCUGUUUUUCUUAAGAGCAAGAGAAGAGCCUCUUGGCUUUGCAACUUUUGAGAGGGUUUUACAUGGAUCCACACUCAACCAUGCCAUCCUCUGAGUAUAUCAAAAUGUUUUUUUUUUUUAUAUAGUUGGCAUCAGAUUUGGAGGAUGAUGAUGUCUAGGUUAUUUUUUUUAUUGAAAACUUGGUGUUUUAACACCAUAUUCUUCCGCCUGGGCCUUGCAAGCAAGACCUAGCGGCCUCCCAUGCGUGAAAAUGAAAACCAUAAAUAUAAAUAAAUUGAGGCUUUAUGAUAACAAUUAAAAUAUGGCACAAGGAUGGUGAAAGCAUCCUCUCUUCCUCGCCUACGUUGAUCCCAAUUCAUACCAAUUUGUUUGUCAAAUUUGCGGAGGAAAAACAAGCCAGAAAUUUUGGUUCUACCGGUGUUGAGAAUGCGGCUUUGAUGCUCAUCCCUACUGCGCUCUGGGGAAGAACCAUUAUCAAGCAAGGGGGCAGUUACAAGUAUGUCAUCCAUCCUCCACCCCUUGCUUAAGUGGAGAAGGCAGAGGAUUUCCCUGCAUGCCAUCCUUUCAGUGCGCCAUGUGAUGAUUUGGCUUUGGAAUGUACUGAUUCUAAGUGCAGUUUUAUCAUCCACGGGGAAAAAAGAAGGUUGCAGGCAUUCAUGAUCCGAAUAGUGAACUGGAAUGGCAAUUUAUAUCUUGAACACAAGAAAAUAUCCAUCUUCAACUACAGCUACUGCAAUUUCUCAACCAUAUGCUCCUCCAUAUUCCCUGCUCUUUAACAUGUCUCUCCAAAUAAGCCCCGACAACACCACAUGAUCGAUCACUCAAUCUCAAACACAGUCUCUCAAACUAAAAGUUCUAUAUGUUGGUAUCGCUUGCUAUCCGUUGCCUCAGUGUUUACUAACUAAGCAUGUCUCUUUUAUCAUAGAACCUACUUGUUUCUCUGAAGCUUUUAAGCAUCACCAAUGGCAUACAACCAUGGACAUUGAAUCUAAUGCUCUUGUAAGAAAUGAUACAUGGGAUCUUGUACCUCCUAAGCCUAGUCAUAAUCUGGUUGGCAACAAAUGGAUAUCAUCAUCACAUGGUGUGGACUACACAAAAACCUUUAGUCUCGUGGUUAAGACAUGAACUAUAUAUACGAUUAUUACUAUCUUUAGCCAUCGCACGACAAUUAAGUAUUAGGUAAAUUGACAUCCAAAAUACCUUUCUACAUGGUCUACUACAAGAGGAAGUCUACAUGUAACAGCCCCAAGGAUACAUUCAUCCUGACUUUCCCAAUCAUGCUUACCAGUUUAAGAAGAGUUUAUAUAUAUGGCCUGAAACAGGCUCCUAGAGCCUGGUUUAAUAGGCUAACAGACAUUGUACCUCCUUAUUCACCCUUCACACUGCUGAUUUCUCUAUUUUCAUCCUCAUAUAUGUUGAUGAUAUAAUCAUCACCAGGACUAACUCUACUGAAAUUGACAAGUUUAUUCAGCAACUUGGUGUUGUCUUUCCUAUUUUCUCGAUGUAGAAGCCUUGUUUAAUGGACAUGAUCUGUUUUUUUGACGGAAAGAAAAUAUGUAGCUGGCUGGCCUAUUACAAUGAGUUCACAUACAUGAAGUCAAGCCUUGUUCCACUCCUAUGAGUACCACUUGUAUUCUAUCUAAGUUUGACAGCUCUGAUUUUUCAGAUCCUCAACUCUAUCACAACACUGUUGGUGCAUUACAUUACUCGGGAUUCCCUCGAUUAGAUGUUGCUUUCAGGGUCCACUGUGUUAGCAAAUCCAUGCAUCAACCCAUGGAAAAUCAUUGGCAAGUUGUCA
rnacentral:lncRNA from 1 species